CCUACGGGAGGCAGCAGUAGGGAAUCUUCCACAAUGGACGAAAGUCUGAUGGAGCAACGCCGCGUGAGCGAUGAAGGCCUUCGGGUCGUAAAGCUCUGUUGUUAGGGAAGAACAAGUACCGGAGUAACUGCCGGUACCUUGACGGUACCUAACCAGAAAGCCACGGCUAACUACGUGCCAGCAGCCGCGGUAAUACGUAGGUGGCAAGCGUUGUCCGGAAUUAUUGGGCGUAAAGCGCGCGCAGGCGGUCCUUUAAGUCGGAUGUGAAAUCUCACGGCUCAACCGUGGAAUGGCAUUCGAAACUGCGGGGCUGGAGUACAGGAGAGGAAAGCGGAAUUCUCGGUGUAGCGGUGAAAUGCGUAGAUAUCGAGAAGAACACCGGUGGCGAAGGCGGCUUUCUGGACUGAUACUGACGCUGAGGCACGAAAGCUGGGGGAGCAAACAGGAUUAGAUACCCUGGUAGUCCCAGCCCUAAACGGUGUGCACUUGGUGUGGGGGGGAUUGUCCCCUUCCGCGCCGGAGCUAACGCGUUAAGUGCACCGCCUGGGGAGUACGGUCGCAAGAUUAAAACUCAAAGGAAUUGACGG
rnacentral:rRNA from 1 species